rnacentral:rRNA from 1 species
CGACGUAAAGAACUUGCCUCACAGAUAGGGACAACAUUUGGAAACGAAUGCUAAUACCUGAUAUUAUGAUUUUAGGGCAUCCUAGAAUUAUGAAAGCUAUAUGCGCUGUGAGAGAGCUUUGCGUCCCAUUAGUUAGUUGGAGAGGUGACGGCUCACCAAGGCGAUGAUGGGUAGCCGGCCUGAGAGGGUGAUCGGCCACAAGGGGACUGAGACACGGCCCUU